rnacentral:rRNA from 1 species
CUACGGGACGCAGCAGUUAGGAAUAAUCUACAAUGCGCGCAAGCGUGAUAGUUUGAGCCAGAGUGCUUUUCAAAUUGAAAAGCUUUUGCCAAGUGUAAAAAGCCUGGCGAAUAAGGACUGGGUAAGACGAGUGCCAGCCGCCGCGGUAAUACUCGCGGUCCAAGUCGCAGCCAUAUUUAUUGGGUCUAAAACAUCCGUAGCUUGUUUAGCAAGUCUCUUGUGAAAUUUUGUAUCUUAAGUACAGAGCGAGCAAGAGGUACUACUAGGCUAGAGACUGGGAGACGUAAGAAGUACGUUCAAAGUAGCGGUUAAAUGUGUUAAUCUUGGACGGACUAACAAGAGCGAAGGCAUCUUACGAGAACAGUUCUGACAGUAAGGGAUGAAGGCUAGGGGCGCAAAACGGAUUAGAUACCCUGGUAGUC